GUGCUCACUUCAGCGGCACAUAUAGUAAAAUUGGAAUGAUACAGAGAAGAUUAGCAUGGCCCUGCACGAGAAUGACACGCAAAUUCAUGAAGCAUUCUAUAUUAAA
rnacentral:snRNA from 1 species